AGACAUUGGUCUCAGGCAGUGGUGGGUUGCCCCCGGUUUGGACCGGUUCGCAGGAACCGGUAAUAAAAUUGGUGGAAGGCUCCGCCCACUGAUCCUGACAUCAUCAGGAAGCGUGAGUGGCCCCGUUGCGAAUCGGUAGUAAAGUGCACAAAAAUCAUCAAUGGGAGUUUCUGAAGAGCGCAAGCAGCCUUGUGCAAGAACGUUUGGCCUUUUGCACUUCCUGGGAACGAAGGUGCAGAUCAGCAGGGAAAGAACCAUCCCUCAAUUACUUGAUCAAAAGGAAGUGAAUAAGAAAAGGAGAAGGAAGAAUAACGAGAGAUAAAUAAAAAGGAACAAAUAUCA